GACGAACGUUGGCGGCGUGCUUAAUACAUGCAAGUCAACUGAAGCAGUGGUAGCAAUCUCGCUGUGGAGGUGGCGCACGGGUGAGUAACACGUAGGUAAUCUGCCUUCAGGUCUGGCAUAACUCCGGGAAACCGGGGCUAAUAGCAGAUGAUGCAGCGGCUCGACAUCGAGACAGUUGUUAAAGCUAUGGCGCCUGAAGAUGAGCCUGCGUCUGAUUAGCUAGUUGGCGGGGUAACGGCCCACCAAGGCAACGAUCAGUAGCUGGUCUGAGAGGAUGAUCAGCCACACUGGAACUGAGACACGGUCCAGACUCCUACGGGAGGCAGCAGUAAGGAAUAUUGCUCAAUGGGAGAAAUCCUGAAGCAGCAACGCCGCGUGAGGGACGAAGGGCUUUUGCUUGUAAACCUCUGUAGUGAGAGAAAAAAAUCCCAAUCUUUGGGACAUGAUGGUAUCUCAAAAGUAAGCCCCGGCUAACUACGUG
rnacentral:rRNA from 1 species